UGACAAAUGGAUGUGCUGCUAGGGAAGGUGUUUUCAGGGCAAGGUAAACAGACCUAAUUCCUAAUCUCUGUCAGCAUCGCCAUGGAGAACAACUGGUGCUGGUGUGGUCAGAGGAAAUCUUUAAACAGGUUUGGAUCUGGAAGGCUGGGCGCUGGCCUGGAGCUGUGACCAAACAGUGGACUCCUUCAGGCAUGAGUGCAUUUGACACCCCCAUCAGCCCCUUAAGCAUCUGUGUACAAGUUUCAUCAACGGCACUGUUAGCCUGUGCCAGGGACUGUCUAUGCUGCUCCAAUGGUCAGAGAUGGAUCUGCGUUGCCAGCAGAUGAAUGCAUUGGGAUCAUUCCAUGAACCUGCUCGUUGUUCAUCUAGAGUCAACCAAAGAGGAAAUAAGAAAAUGUUGACUGGUCACAGGAUUUCAGUUCUCUGAAGAGCUCUGCUAUCUUAUGCCUUUGGAUCUCUACAGAUGGUGUUCCUUUAGCUGAAUGUGGCUUGCCUUGUCCCCUCCAUUGCUGACCUGAGAAAUCUUCCUGCACUUCAAGUUUUGUUUCAAACAUUCCUUCCCAUUUCUGUGAUACCUCCCCAAUUUCCUAGGCUAACAGAGACUCCUGUCUGUGCUCUUUGUUUGUUCACCCUCUCUCUCCUCCUCCCUCUAUGUGUGUGUUUGUGUACAUAUGUGUGUGUAUGUGUGUGUGUGUGCAUGCUUAUAUACAUGUAUAUAUGUAUGUAUUUAAUAGGAAUGAUUUUCUUUCUGAAAUGGGAUUAUUUGUAGAGCUGUCUAUUAUAUUGUGAGACACUUACAGGGGGGUUCUGGGUCUUUUAAUCCCUUCUAGCAUUUUGAACCAUAUUUUGCCCAGUUGUUGGUUGAAUUAGUAAAUGCAAGAAUAGAUCAAAGCUUUGAGAAUGCUAGGAUGGAAGGGACAUUUAGGCAAAAAUAGCCAUCUCAGGGGAUA
rnacentral:lncRNA from 1 species